rnacentral:rRNA from 1 species
UACGUAGGCAGCGAGCGUUGUUCGGAGUUACUGGGCGUAAAGAGUGCGUAGGCGGUUUUCUAAGUUUGGUGUGAAAUCUCCUGGCUCAACUGGGAGGGUGCGCCGGAAACUGGAGUGCUUGAGCGUGGGAGAGGAAAGCGGAAUUCCUGGUGUAGCGGUGAAAUGCGUAGAUAUCAGGAGGAACACCUGUGGUGUAGACGGCUUCUGGACCAUAGCUGACGCUGAGACACGAAAGCGUGGGUAGCAAACAGG